GUGCAUCUCACUCCAUGGUCCAAGUUCCUCGUCCAGCCUGUGCAUUGCAGUGUUAUGAAUGCAUACCAGGACUAUCUCUAAACUGCACUGAGACAACAAAAGAAUGUCCUUCCAAUACUCAGUGUGGUUCAUUCAGAAUAAUUUCAUAUGCAGGUGGUACAGAUCUCACUGAUGUUAAAAUGAAAAUGUGCGCUCUGGCUGAAGAGUGCAGUGAGGCCUCAGUCAACCUUGGAGUUGCCCAAGCUGUAAUUACUAGCAAGUG